GAUAUAGCUCAAUGGUAGAGUGCCUGACUAGCACACAUAAGGCCUUGGGUUCCAUCCCCAGUACA
rnacentral:tRNA from 1 species